CGAAAGGCGUAGUCGAUGGGAAACAGGUUAAUAUUCCUGUACUUGGUGUUACUGCGAAGGGGGGACGGAGAAGGCUAUGUUGGCCGGGCGACGGUUGUCCCGGUUUAAGCGUGUAGGCUGGUUUUCCAGGCAAAUCCGGAAAAUCAAGGCUGAGGCGUGAUGACGAGGCACUACGGUGCUGAAGCAACAAAUGCCCUGCUUCCAGGAAAAGCCUCUAAGCAUCAGGUAACAUCAAAUCGUACCCCAAACCGACACAGGUGGUCAGGUAGAGAAUACCAAGGCGCUUGAGAGAACUCGGGUGAAGGAACUAGGCAAAAUGGUGCCGUAACUUCGGGAGAAGGCACGCUGAUAUGUAGGUGAAGUCCCUUGCGGAUGGAGCUGAAAUCAGUCGAAGAUACCAGCUGGCUGCAACUGUUUAUUAAAAACACAGCACUGUGCAAACACGAAAGUGGACGUAUACGGUGUGACGCCUGCCCGGUGCCGGAAGGUUAAUUGAUGGGGUCAGCGCAAGCGAAGCUCUUGAUCGAAGCCCCGGUAAACGGCGGCCGUAACUAUAACGGUCCUAAGGUAGCGAAAUUCCUUGUCGGGUAAGUUCCGACCUGCACGAAUGGCGUAAUGAUGGCCAGGCUGUCUCCACCCGAGACUCAGUGAAAUUGAACUCGCUGUGAAGAUGCAGUGUACCCGCGGCAAGACGGAAAGACCCCGUGAACCUUUACUAUAGCUUGACACUGAACAUUGAGCCUUGAUGUGUAGGAUAGGUGGGAGGCUUUGAAGUGUGGACGCCAGUCUGCAUGGAGCCGGCCUUGAAAUACCACCCUUUAAUGUUUGAUGUUCUAACGUGGACCCGUGAUCCGGGUUGCGGACAGUGUCUGGUGGGUAGUUUGACUGGGGCGGUCUCCUCCUAAAGAGUAACGGAGGAGCACGAAGGUUGGCUAAUCCUGGUCGGACAUCAGGAGGUUAGUGCAAUGGCAUAAGCCAGCUUGACUGCGAGCGUGACGGCGCGAGCAGGUGCGAAAGCAGGUCAUAGUGAUCCGGUGGUUCUGAAUGGAAGGGCCAUCGCUCAACGGAUAAAAGGUACUCCGGGGAUAACAGGCUGAUACCGCCCAAGAGUUCAUAUCGACGGCGGUGUUUGGCACCUCGAUGUCGGCUCAUCACAUCCUGGGGCUGAAGUAGGUCCCAAGGGUAUGGCUGUUCGCCAUUUAAAGUGGUACGCGAGCUGGGUUUAGAACGUCGUGAGACAGUUCGGUCCCUAUCUGCCGUGGGCGCUGGAGAACUGAGGGGGGCUGCUCCUAGUACGAGAGGACCGGAGUGGACGCAUCACUGGUGUUCGGGUUGUCAUGCCAAUGGCACUGCCCGGUAGCUAAAUGCGGAAGAGAUAAGUGCUGAAAGCAUCUAAGCACGAAACUUGCCCCGAGAUGAGUUCUCCCUGACCCUUUAAGGGUCCUGAAGGAACGUUGAAGACGACGACGUUGAUAGGCCGGGUGUGUAAGCGCAGCGAUGCGUUGAGCUAACCGGUACUAAUGAACCGUGAG
rnacentral:rRNA from 1 species